AUUACCGGAUCAGCAGGGGACCGUCUGGCUCCGGCCCCUCUGUAAAAAGAGUCUGUAUCAGUCUGUCACUGAGAAGAACAGAUGGUGAAUAGCAGCUGAAGCCUUCGGGAGAAGCUUCAGAAGGUACAAAGGCACCUUUAGAUGAGAGGAUGUGCAUGCUGAGGUUUUCCUGUCUAUCAGGAAGCAGGAGGCAUUGCAGAAGAUGUAGCCGAGAGAUCCAUUGCAAGCAGGUAGCAGGUCUUUAAACAGAAAAGGUCAUAUUUUGAGAAGUGAAAUGAGAACCCAGCCCUCUUUGCAAAAAAUGUGGAUUACUGGCUUUGUGUUUAAACCAGUUAUUCUAAGAACGUGAACAGUCUUGAGAUCACUUGCUUAUCUUCCAACCCAAAACUGUACGAAAGGAACCUCCUCUCGGGGAAGUAAGUAAUAUUUAGUUAUUUCCCAGAAUAUCUCAGUUGAGUAUCAAAUACAUAGAGAAAUGCCUGAAAAAUUCCCAAGAGUUUCACUGUUAUUUUGCCAUCAGUAAUAUCAGCAAGGCAGGGCAGAGACCUUGCUCUUAAAAGCCCCUGUAAAUGUUUUUACUUGGUUGAGUCCCACCAAUAGUUAGGCCCACAGUUACCAAUAAUGUAUCAAAAAAACUUGAUACAGGGAUAAAAAUAAAUAAAUAAAAUACAAACAAUCUAUACUUCAAAAUAGACAAGAGCCUUAACCUUAAAACAAACAAACAAACAAACAAACAAAAACAGAAGCUGGGAAAGAAUGCUAGCUCAACUAAUGGCCACGCUCUGAAAGACUUUGGAGUCCUCAUGUUUGGGAGGAUUUUACCUUCAGUGACUUGAAUCCAUGAAAAGACAUAUCUGUGACUGAAGUGAUACAAGACGUGAAUCUGUCAGAGCAAAAGACAGCGACAGUCAAUACCUUCUACAUAAAUAAGAAACCAGAAGCUAUCUGAGCCACCAGGUUCAAAGAACAGCUUUCAGCUAUUGCUACUUAUAAAAGAUUCACUUUUGAAAAUACCAGCUAUGGUGUGAUUAAUUGCUUCUUUCUGUGUGACUGCCUGAAACUGUAACGGUCUCAAAAGCAUCCUGAAUGAAUCUUCAUACUAAGCGAGAAGGUUUAACAACAACAACAAAAUCAACCUUUUAUCUUGCCUCAAUCUGAGAGUUGCGGUGAUGACACCUAAUUCAGAGAGAAGGCUGAUCUGUGUCAGGCUGGGAUUUAAUGUUAAUGAGGACUGCCACAAUGCAAAACGCAGCCUCACUUUUCUGACCGAAAAAAAUCACAAAAACUUCUAGAUGACUCAUCUCCUAUAUCUUGCACUUCUGUAAUUUUCCAGUGAUACAAAAACAGUUAGUACUGGUUGAAAUACAUUAGCAGCUUCGGUAAUUAGCAGACAUAACCAUUUCUUGUCAGCUCCAUGGGCUGUAUCCUCAGCUGGUGUAAAUCAAUGACACUCCAGCAGUGUAACUGUAUUACUUUGCACACCUCAAAAUAUCUGUGUAUGUUAAUUACUGCCUUAUCCAUUACUGCUGUUGUCAAUUCAGACACCUGGUUUACAGUGGAUGAGUUUGCUCCAUAUAUUUAGAAGUUUCUGCACAUUCCUCAAAGGAUCUGUAGCAGUGAAUGAACGUUCAGAAUAAGCUGGGCACAUGCUCUCCAUUAUCUAUCAAAUCGAUGUUCAAUAAAGCGACACCAUUGCACAUAAAUCAUGGCCGUAACUAUUAAAUCAAGCUGAGUUUGUAUUGCUUUUCUUUCACUGUUGGGUAGAAUUAACCAUGCGGGCAUAUGUGAAGAGGCACGCUGUAAUCUUUGGAGCUGGAAAAAGGAGUUAAAAGCCCCACCCAGCUCUCACAACCUAACCUUUGGAACAUGCAGCUGAUAAUGUGAAACAGAACAUAAUGCCCUGGAGGAGAUACAUCUGGAGGUCAGCUCAGUCAGAUACUGUGGAACUGUUCCAACAACGCAAUCAAAUAUCUAACAAAACC
rnacentral:lncRNA from 7 species